UACAGAGGUCCCAAGCGUUGUUCGGAUUCACUGGGCGUAAAGGGUGCGUAGGCGGUUGGAUAAGUCUGAUGUGAAAUCUUCGAGCUCAACUCGGAAACUGCAUCGGAAACUAUCUAGCUCGAGGAUUGGAGGGGAGACUGGAAUUCUCGGUGUAGCAGUGAAAUGCGUAGAUAUCGAGAGGAACACCAGUGGCGAAGGCGAGUCUCUGGACAAUUCCUGACGCUGAGGCACGAAAGCUAGGGGAGCAAACAGG
rnacentral:rRNA from 1 species